GAAAUUUGGUACAGACGUGGCUUGCAUCCCGGGGAAGGACAUAGGCUAUUUUUUAUCCCGGAAAUUAAAGAGUUCCUACGGGAUUUUUAUAAAACCAAAUCCAUGCGGACGAAGUCUCGUUUAUCAUCUAGUCUAGUAAGAAA